rnacentral:rRNA from 1 species
AGUGAACGCUGGCGGUAGGCCUAACACAUGCAAGUCGAACGGCAGCACAGUAAGAGCUUGCUCUUACGGGUGGCGAGUGGCGGACGGGUGAGGAAUACAUCGGAAUCUACUUUUUCGUGGGGGAUAACGUAGGGAAACUUACGCUAAUACCGCAUACGACCUACGGGUGAAAGCAGGGGAUCUUCGGACCUUGCGCGAUUGAAUGAGCCGAUGUCGGAUUAGCUAGUUGGCGGGGUAAAGGCCCACCAAGGCGACGAUCCGUAGCUGGUCUGAGAGGAUGAUCAGCCACACUGGACCUGAGACACGGUCCAGACUCCUACGGGAGGCAGCAGUGGGGAAUAUUGGACAAUGGGCGCAAGCCUGAUCCAGCCAAACCGCGUGGGUGAAGAAGGCCUUCGGGUUGUAAAGCCCUUUUGUUGGGAAAGAAAAGCAGCAGGUUAAUACCCCGCUGUUCUGACGGUACCCAAAGAAUAAGCACCGGCUAACUUCGU